GUGCCAGCCGCCGCGGUAAUACGUAGGGUGCAAGCGUUAAUCGGAAUUACUGGGCGUAAAGCGUGCGCAGGCGGUUCGGAAAGAAAGAUGUGAAAUCCCAGAGCUUAACUUUGGAACUGCAUUUUUAACUACCGGGCUAGAGUGUGUCAGAGGGAGGUGGAAUUCCGCGUGUAGCAGUGAAAUGCGUAGAUAUGCGGAGGAACACCGAUGGCGAAGGCAGCCUCCUGGGAUAACACUGACGCUCAUGCACGAAAGCGUGGGGAGCAAACAGGAUUAGAUACCCUGGUAGUCC
rnacentral:rRNA from 1 species